rnacentral:rRNA from 1 species
AACGAACGCUGGCGGCAGGCUUAACACAUGCAAGUCGAACGGACGUAGCAAUACGUUAGUGGCAGACGGGUGAGUAACGCGUGGGAAUGUGCCCUUUAGUUCGGAAUAACACAGAGAAAUUUGUGCUAAUACCGGAUAAUCCCGAGAGGGGAAAGAUUUAUCGCUGAAGGAGCAGCCCGCGUCUGAUUAGCUAGUUGGUGAGGUAAUGGCUCACCAAGGCGACGAUCAGUAGCUGGUCUGAGAGGAUGAUCAGCCACACUGGGACUGAGACACGGCCCAGACUCCUACGGGAGGCAGCAGUGGGGAAUAUUGGACAAUGGGGGCAACCCUGAUCCAGCCAUGCCGCGUGAGUGAUGAAGGCCUUAGGGUUGUAAAACUCUUUUGUCCGGGAAGAUAAUGACUGUACCGGAAGAAUAAGGACUCGGACUAACGUCCGUGCCAGCACGCCGGACGGUAAUACGUCUACUCG